AUUGAACGCUGGCGGCAUGCCUUACACAUGCAAGUCGAACGGCAGCACGGACUUCGGUCUGGUGGCGAGUGGCGAACGGGUGGGUAAUAUAUCGGAACAUACCUUGUAGUGGGGGAUAACUAUCCGAAAGGAUAGCUAAUAUCGCAUACGCUCUAAGGAGGAAAGCGGGGGAUCGUAAGACCUCGUGCUAUAAGAGUGGCCGAUAUCUGAUUAGCUAGUUGGUGAGGUAGAGGCUCACCAAGGCGACGAUCAGUAGCUGGUCUGAGAGGACGACCAGCCACACUGGAACUGAGACACGGUCCAGACUCCUACGGGAGGCAGCAGUGGGGAAUUUUGGACAAUGGGGGCAACCCUGAUCCAGCAAUGCCGCGUGAGUGAAGAAGGCCUUCGGGUUGUAAAGCUCUUUUGUCAGGGAAGAAACGGUUGUGGCUAAUAUCCAUGGCUAAUGACGGUACCUGAAGAAUAAGCACCGGCUAACUACGUGCCAGCCGCCGCCGUAA
rnacentral:rRNA from 1 species